rnacentral:rRNA from 1 species
GGAUUUCUAAGAUGGACAGCGGCGAAGGGAGAGUAAUGAGUGGAUUACCUACCCCCAGGACCGGGAUAGCUGUGGGAAACCGCAGGUAAUACCGGAUAAUAUCUCCGGAUCAAAUGGUGAGAUUCCGCCAGGGGAUGGGUCCGCUUCCUAUUAGCUUGUUGGUGGGGUAACGGCCUACCAAGGCAGCAAUGGGUACCGGGUGUGAGAGCAUGGCCCGGCUCACUGGGACUGAGACACUGCCCAGACACCUACGGGUGGCUGCAGUCGAGAAUCUUCCGCAAUGGGCGAAAGCCUGACGGAGCGACGCCGCGUGCGGGAUGAAGGCCUUCGGGUUGUAAACCGCUGUCAGUUGGGAGGAAAUCUAUGGGGGUUAUCCCCCAUAGUUGACCUAUCUUCAGAGGAAGGACGGGCUAAGUUCGUGCCACCAGCCGCGGUAAGACGGACCGUCCAAACGUUAUUCGGAAUCACUGGGCUUAAAGGGUGCGUAGGCGGCUUGGCAAGUUGGGUGUGAAAUCCCUCGGCUCAACCGAGGAACUGCGCUCAAAACUGCCAAGCUAGAGGAAGAUAGAGGUGAGCGGAACUGAUGGUGGAGCGGUGAAAUGCGUUGAUAUCAUCAGGAACACCAGUGGCGAAGGCGGCUCACUGGGUCCUUUCUGACGCUGAGGGACGAAAGCUAGGGAAGCAAACGGGAUUAGAUACCCCGGUAGUCCUAGCUGUAAACGAUGAGCACUAGAUCGAGGGGACUUCCACAUCUUCUCGGUCGUAGCGAAAGUGUUAGUGCUCCGCCUGGGGGAGU